rnacentral:rRNA from 1 species
GAUGAACGCUGGCGGCGUGCCUAAUACAUGCAAGUCGAGCGAACAGACGAGGAGCUUGCUCCUCUGACGUUAGCGGCGGACGGGUGAGUAACACGUGGAUAACCUACCUAUAAGACUGGGAUAACUUCGGGAAACCGGGGCUAAUACCGGAUAAUAUAUUGAACCGCAUGGUUCAAUAGUGAAAGACGGUUUUGCUGUCACUUAUAGCUGGAUCCGCGCCGCAUUAGCUAGUUGGUAAGGUAACGGCUUACCAAGGCAACGAUGCGUAGCCGACCUGAGAGGGUGAUCGGCCACACUGGAACUGAGACACGGUCCAGACUCCUACGGGAGGCAGCAGUAGGGAAUCUUCCGCAAUGGGCGAAAGCCUGACGGAGCAACGCCGCGUGAGUGAUGAAGGUCUUCGGAUCGUAAAACUCUGUUAUUAGGGAAGAACAAAUGUGUAAGUAACUAUGCACGUCUUGACGGUACCUAAUCAGAAAGCCACGGCUAACUACGUG